UUGCUUCUCUCGUUAGCUUCGGGUUCGUUCCGGAGUUGUGAGGAUUCGUUCGACUACGUCCGUUUGUCUUCUUCAUGAACUCGUUCUUCUUCCUAUCGGGAUCUCAGGCAAGAUAACUAUUACCCUCGAUAUCACUUCUAUCUUUGUUUGCUAGUUGCUCUAUUCUAUCGCUAUGCUGUGCUACCUAUCACUUGUUUACCAUGCCUCCCAUAUUGCCAUGUCAGCCUCUAACCUUUUUCACCCCUCCUAGCAAACCGUUGCUUGGCUAUGUUACCACUUUGCUCGGCCCCUCUUAUAGCAUUGUUAGUUGCAGGUGAAGUUGAAGAUUGCUCCAUGAUGGACAGGAUUAUUUUGGGAUAUCACAAUAUCUCUUAUUUAAUUAAUGCAUCUAUAUACUUGGUAAAGGGUGGAAGACUCGGCCUUAUGCCUGGUGUUUUGUUCCACUCUUGCCACCCUAAUUUCCGUCAUACCGGUGUUAUGUUCCCGGAUUUUGCGUUCCUUACGCGGUUGGGUGAUUUAUGGGACCCCCUUGACAGUUCGCUUUGAAUAAAACUCCUCUAGCAAGGCCCAACCUUGGUUUUACCAUUUUCCACCUAAGCCUUUUUCCCUUGGGUUCUGCAGACUCAAGGGUCAUCUUUAUUUUAACCCCCCCCCCCCCGGGGCCAGUGCUCCGUCGAGUGUUGGUCCGAAAUGAGCAGCUUGCGGGGCCACCUCGGGGCAACUUGAGGGCUGGUUUUACUCGUAGCUUGACUUAUCCGGUGUGCCCUGAGAACGAGGUAUGUGCGACUCCUAUCGGGAUUUGUCGGCGCAUCGGGCGGCUUUGCUGGUCUUGUUUUACCAUUGUCGAAAUGUCUUGCGAACCGGGAUUCCAAGGCUGAUCGGGUCUUCCCGGGAGAAGGUAUAUCCUUCGUUGACCAUGAGAGCUUGUGAUGGGCUAAGUUGGGACACCCCUGCAGGGUAUAUUAUCUUUCUAAAGCCGUGCCCGCGGUUAUGGGUAGAUGGGAAUUUGUUAAUGUCCGGUUGUAGAUAACUUGACACUUGACCUCAUUAAAACGCAUCAACCGCGUGUGUAGCCGUGAUGGUCUCUUCUCGCGGUGUCCGGGAAGUGAACACGGUUUUGGGUUAUGUUUGACGUAAGUAGGAGUUCCGGAUCACUUCUUGAUCAUUGCUAGCUUCAUGACCGUUCCAUUUGCUCUCUUCUCGCUCUUAUUUGCGUAUGUCAGCCAUCAUAUAUGCUUAGUCGCUGCUGCAACCUCACCACUUUACCCCUUCCUUUCCCAUAAGCUUAAAUAGUCUUGAUCUCGCGGGUUUUGAGAUUGCUGAGUCCUCGUGACUCAUCAGAUACUAUCACAACAGUUGCAGGUGCCGAUGAUACCAGUGCAGGUGAUGCAACCGAGCUCAGAUGGGAGCUCAACGAAGACCUUGGUCGUUGCUAUGUAUCGUUUAAUGUUGAUCAGUAGUGGAGCCCAGUUGGGACGAUCGGGGAUCUAGCAGUUGGGUUAUCUUCUUUUCUUUUGGCUUCAUCCGUAGUCGGACUAUGUGUGUACUCUGAAUGAUGUAUGAUUUAUUUAUGUUCAUUGUGUGAAGUGGUGAUUGUAAGCCAACUCUUUAUCCCAUUCUUGUUCAUUACAUGGGAUUGUGUGAAGAUGACCCUUCUUGCGACAAAA
rnacentral:lncRNA from 1 species